GAUGAACGCUGGCGGCGUGCUUAACACAUGCAAGUCGAACGGAAAGGCCCUGCUUUUGUGGGGUGAGUGAGUGGCGGACGGGUGAGUAACACGUGAGUAACCUGCCCUUGACUUUGGGAUAACUUCAGGAAACUGGGGCUAAUACCGGAUAGGAGUUCCUGCUGCAUGGUGGGGGAUGGAAAGUUUCGGUGGUGGUGGAUGGUACAGCGGCUUAUCAGCCUGUUGGUGGGGUAGGGGCGGCCAACGGUUUUGAAGGGGAGCCGGCCUGGGAGUGUGACCGGCCCCAUUGGGACUGAGAUAGGGCCCAGACGCCUACUGCAGCCAUCGGUGGGGAAUAUUCCGCAAUGGGCGGAAGCCUGGUGCAACGACGCCGCGUGCGGGAUGACUGUCUUCGGGUUGUAAACCGCUUCCGCCUAUUACGAAGCGUGAGUGACGGUAAUGGGUAAAGAAGCACCGGCUAACUACGUG
rnacentral:rRNA from 1 species